UGAACAGAUUAUUGUAUUCGACUGUAUUCACAACGUGAAAUAGGGGAUUACACUGUUUUUAAAAUGGAAAGUGAAUCAAUUAACAUAAUAGACUCCU
rfam:Nicotiana attenuata strain TT chromosome 11, whole genome shotgun sequence.